GCGAGGGAUUAACAACCAGAGUCUCUUCUUCUCUCUCUAUUUGUUCUUCCCUUGCUUCUUUCCCUCUCCACAUAGUCUCCGUCAAUGUCCAAUGUCCAUGGAAGAAGAAUUCAAUCGGAAAUCAACCCCACUCAAGGGCCGAGAUUUUCAAGGAAUAGAAGAAAAUCAAGGGCGGUGAAAUUCUCAAGUGUGUCGAAGGGAGUUUCUAAAAAAUGAUCUGUUGAUUGCAUGCAAAGCCCUUGUUGAUUUCAGCACUUCUUUUCUUGAUGUUGUGCAUGAAGAUUCCACAAUUAUUAGGCUUUGCAUUUCUUAUACUCCUCACUUCUUGGAGUUUAAAGAGGUAUUGUAUUUCUACCCAAUUUCUUGUUUUCAAUUUUCUUGAAUUAGGGUUUGAUUCUUGAUAUAGUAUAGGGAACAAGUGAAUCUUGGAGCAGUACAAUUUGAUUACUGAAUUUAUGAACUUUUUUUGUCGCAUGGUUUCUUGGUAUGAUGAGUUACCCGGUUCUUUUUGUUCUUUCUUGUAUUGUUCUUUUUCUCAUGUUUUCUUGAGGAGUUAACCGAUUCUUUUUCCCUUUCUUGUUCUUUUUCCUUUUUUUUAUCUUGUUUCUUGAGGACACCUUGAAUCUUGGAAAAUCCACUAAGGUAGUGCGUUUGUCGACAAGACUGUUGGAGACUAUCUUCUAGCAUUCUGGAGGCUGACAUUAAAUUGAAGUUGAAGAUGUCUUAACACGAGAAGAAUUUAUCAUUCCGUGAGACGAGUUGAAGGACGUUUGCAACUAUCUAAUGUUAAGAUAUGUUGUUGUAAAUUAGAAUACUUUGUUCAAGGGAGCUUUAGCAUUCUCUGUAAAUUUGUAUACUUUGUUGUAAAAUGAAAUGAAAAUUUUCUUCCAA